UUUGGGGUGUUAAGUGAAGAAGUCCUUCACACUUACUUCUCUUAAUUUUCUUUCUAAGUUCGACGUGUUUUUCUUUAUUCCUUGUGUCAUGAGAUGGUGUUUGGGAUAUGGGGUGUAGAAGAGGAGGAGUCCUUCUCUUGGAAGGAAAUUGGAUGCCACAAAUAAAUGGGAUGCCUUCAUAUAUUUGGAUAUUAUGGUAGAGUCUU
rnacentral:lncRNA from 1 species